AUUGAACGCUGGCGGCAUGCCUUACACAUGCAAGUCGAACGGUAACAGGUUAAGCUGACGAGUGGCGAACGGGUGAGUAAUAUAUCGGAACGUGCCCAGUCGUGGGGGAUAACGUAGCGAAAGCUACGCUAAUACCGCAUACGAUCUACGGAUGGAAGCGGGGGAUCGCAAGACCUCGCGCGAUUGGAGCGGCCGAUAUCAGAUUAGGUUGUUGGUGAGGUAAAAGCCCACCAAGCCUGCGAUCUGUAGCUGGUCUGAGAGGACGACCAGCCACACUGGAACUGAGACACGGUCCAGACUCCUACGGGAGGCAGCAGUGGGGAAUUUUGGACAAUGGACGCAAGUCUGAUCCAGCAAUGCCGCGUGCAGGACGAAGGCCUUCGGGUUGUAAACUGCUUUUGUACGGAACGAAACGGUGAGCUCUAAUACAGUUUGCUAAUGACGGUACCGUAAGAAUAAGCACCGGCUAACUACGUGCCAGCCGCCGCGGUAA
rnacentral:rRNA from 1 species